rnacentral:tRNA from 2 species
GACCCCAUCGUCUAGCCAGGUCAAGGACACGGGCCUUUCACGCCCGUGACACGGGUUCGAAUCCCGUUGGGGUCG